UUGACGGGGCCGCACAAGCGGUGGGGCAUGUGGUUUAAUUCGAAGCAACGCGAAGAACCUUACCAGGUCUUGACAUCCCUGACAACCCAAGAGAUUGGGCGUUCCCCCUCGGGGGACAGGGUGACAGGUGGUGCAUGGUUGUCGUCAGCUCGUGUCGUGAGAUGUUGGGUUAAGUCCCGCAACGAGCGCAACCCUCGCCUCUAGUUGCCAGCAUUCGGUUGGGCACUCUAGAGGGACUGCCGGCGACAAGUCGGAGGAAGUGGGGAUGACGUCAAAUCAUCAUGCCCCUUAUGACCUGGGCUACACACGUGCUACAAUGGGCGGUACAAAGGGCUGCGAACCCGCGAGGGGGAGCGAAUCCCAAAAAGCCGCUCUCAGUUCGGAUUGCAGGCUGCAACUCGCCUGCAUGAAGCCGGAAUCGCUAGUAAUCGUGGAUCAGAAUGUCACGGUGAAUACGUUCCCGGGUCUU
rnacentral:rRNA from 1 species